rnacentral:rRNA from 1 species
GAUGAACGCUGGCGGCGUGCCUAAUACAUGCAAGUCGAGCGAACGGACGAGAAGCUUGCUUCUCUGAUGUUAGCGGCGGACGGGUGAGUAACACGUGGAUAACCUACCUAUAAGACUGGGAUAACUUCGGGAAACCGGAGCUAAUACCGGAUAAUAUUUUGAACCGCAUGGUUCAAAAGUGAAAGACGGUCUUGCUGUCACUUAUAGAUGGAUCCGCGCUGCAUUAGCUAGUUGGUAAGGUAACGGCUUACCAAGGCAACGAUGCAUAGCCGACCUGAGAGGGUGAUCAGCCACACUGGAACUGAGACACGGUCCAGACUCCUACGGGAGGCAGCAGUAGGGAAUCUUCCGCAAUGGGCGAAAGCCUGACGGAGCAACGCCGCGUGAGUGAUGAAGGUCUUCGGAUCGUAAAACUCUGUUAUUAGGGAAGAACAUAUGUGUAAGUAACUGUGCACAUCUUGACGGUACCUAAUCAGAAAGCCACGGCUAACUACGUGCCAGCAGCCGCGGUAAUACGUAGGUGGCAAGCGUUAUCCGGAAUUAUUGGGCGUAAAGCGCGCGUAGGCGGUUUUUUAAGUCUGAUGUGAAAGCCCACGGCUCAACCGUGGAGGGUCAUUGGAAACUGGAAAACUUGAGUGCAGAAGAGGAAAGUGGAAUUCCAUGUGUAGCGGUGAAAUGCGCAGAGAUAUGGAGGAACACCAGUGGCGAAGGCGACUUUCUGGUCUGUAACUGACGCUGAUGUGCGAAAGCGUGGGGAUCAAACAGGAUUAGAUACCCUGGUAGUCCACGCCGUAAACGAUGAGUGCUAAGUGUUAGGGGGUUUCCGCCCCUUAGUGCUGCAGCUAACGCAUUAAGCACUCCGCCUGGGGAGUACGACCGCAAGGUUGAAACUCAAAGGAAUUGACGGGGACCCGCACAAGCGGUGGAGCAUGUGGUUUAAUUCGAAGCAACGCGAAGAACCUUACCAAAUCUUGACAUCCUUUGACAACUCUAGAGAUAGAGCUUUCCCCUUCGGGGGACAAAGUGACAGGUGGUGCAUGGUUGUCGUCAGCUCGUGUCGUGAGAUGUUGGGUUAAGUCCCGCAACGAGCGCAACCCUUAAGCUUAGUUGCCAUCAUUAAGUUGGGCACUCUAAGUUGACUGCCGGUGACAAACCGGAGGAAGGUGGGGAUGGCGUCAAAUCAUCAUGCCCCUUAUGAUUUGGGCUACACACGUGCUACAAUGGACAAUACAAAGGGCAGCGAAACCGUGAGGUCAAGCAAAUCCCAUAAAGUUGUUCUCAGUUCGGAUUGUAGUCUGCAACUCGACUACAUGAAGCUGGAAUCGCUAGUAAUCGUAGAUCAGCAUGCUACGGUGAAUACGUUCCCGGGUCU